rnacentral:rRNA from 1 species
UUGAUCCUGGCUCAGAACGAACGUUGGCGGCGUGCUUAACACAUGCAAGUCGUACGAGAACGUCCCGGCUUGCCGGGAUUAGUAAAGUGGCGCACGGGUGAGUAACACGUGAGUAAUCUCCCUUCAGGCUUGGGAUAACAUUGCGAAAGCGGUGCUAAUACCAAAUAAGACCACAGUAUCACAGGAUACAGUGGAAAAAGAUGGCCUCUGUAUAUGCUAUCACCUGAAGAUGAGCUCGCGGACCAUUAGCUUGUUGGUAGGGUAAUGGCCUACCAAGGCAAAGAUGGUUAGCUGGUCUGAGAGGAUGAUCAGUCACACUGGAACUGAGACACGGUCCAGACUCCUACGGGAGGCAGCAGUGGGGAAUAUUGCGCAAUGGGGGAAACCCUGACGCAGUGACGCCGCGUGAGUGAUGAAGGUCUUCGGAUCGUAAAGCUCUGUCAGACGGGAAGAAUAAGGGCAGUAAAAAUAUUAUUGUCCGAUGACGGUACCGUCAGAGGAAGCACCGGCUAACUCCGUGCCAGCAGCCGCGGUAAUACGGAGGGUGCUAACGUUGUUCGGAAUUACUGGGCGUAAAGCGCAUGUAGGCGGAUGUGUAAGGUCAGAUGUGAAAUCCCUUGGGUCAACCAAGGACGUGCAUCUGAAACCACAUGUCUUGAGUACGACAGAGGGAAGUGGAAUUUCCCAGUGUAGAGGUGAAAUUCAUAGAUAUUGGGAAGAACACCGGUGGCGAAGGCGGCUUUCUGGGUCGUAACUGACGCUGAGAUGCGAAA